rnacentral:rRNA from 1 species
CCCUUAGAUGUUCUGGGCCGCACACGCGCUACACUGAAGGAGGCAGCGUGUACUCCUGGAUCGAAAGAUUUGGGUAACCCGCGAAUCUCCUUCGUGCUAGGGAUUGAGGUUUGCAAUUAUCCUUCAUGAACGAGGAAUUCCCAGUAAGUGCAAGUCAUAAGCUUGCGCUGAUUACGUCCCUGCCCUUUGUACACACCGCCCGUCGCUACUACCGAUUGAAUGAUUUAGUGAGGACUUCGGACUGGGACCGAUGCGGCUUUCGGGCUGCGUCGGUAUUCUGGAAAGAUGUCCAAACUGUAUCAUUUAGAGGAAGUAAAAGUCGUAACA